CCUACGGGUGGCUGCAGUCGAGAAUCUUCCACAAUGGACGAAAGUCUGAUGGAGCGACGCCGCGUGAUUGACGAAGUCCUUCGGGACGUAAAGAUCUUUUAUGAGGGAAGAAGUUUAUUGACGGUACCUCAUGAAUAAGGGGCUCCUAAUCUCGUGCCAGCAGGAGCGGUAAUACGAGAGCCCCGAGCGUUAUCCGGAAUUAUUGGGCGUAAAGGGUGCGUAGGCGGCUGUGUUAGUCGAAUGUGAAAGAUCCCGGCUCAACUGGGAAAACGCGUUCGAAACGGCACGGCUUAGAGUGAAGGAGGGGUGCGCGGAACUCAUGGUGUAGGGGUGAAAUCCGUUGAUAUCAUGGGGAACACCGAAAGCGAAAGCAGCGCACUGGCCUUUUACUGACGCUGAGGCACGAAAGCGUGGGUAGCGAAUGGGAUUAGAUACCCUUGUAGUC
rnacentral:rRNA from 1 species